ensembl:lncRNA
CUGAAUUGAAAAACACAGUCACUGGUGUGUCUUGAAUUGCCAGAGACUAAUGUUAAGCUUGAUUCAGCAUCUUCCCGUCUAUAUUGCUUGUUUGUCCCUUUGUCUAUAUUGCCUGUCUAUCCAUUUGUUAAUUCUUUUUGGAGUUUGCUUUCUGAGGGCUGAGGCUGGGUGGCCUGUCUCCUGGUGGCUCUUACUGUCUGCCAUGGAGCCUGGCACACUGUCGUAUGGAGCAGCUCCAGAGAAGGGCUUACCCUCUGGCCUAUAUUCCCUAGUUCCUGAGUUCAGCAGACCAUUCCUCAUUCGCUUCUGUCCUCUUGUUAUUCUGAAACUACCACUACCCAAGGCCUUGGCUGCCAGAUGAUGUCUCUUUUGGAAGCAUCCGUCACUGUACUUUAAAAGAGGGGCCCUUCCCAGUCCCUAUGAGGAACACAUUAAGCUUGUGCUUUGCAGAUGCUCACGCUACACCUCUAACUUGUCUCUUUAGGUGUGUCUCCAUUCCAGGCUCUGUCUGUGUACUUAUCUGCCACACGCUUUGUGUUUCUAAAACAAAUCUUUAUUUUUAUUAUUGUUGGGACAGGUGCCAUUUAAAUUGCCUCCAUGCUUGGAUCAAGUUGGGAACAAACUCAUAUUCAACUUUUAAGGCUCUGUUUGCCUGCAGAAGCAAGGAGAUUGGAAUGUAUUUUUUUUUAGUGUUUGCACUAUUUGGAGUCCUAAGCCCCUCAUGUUCAGAUGUUUUGUUUUUCUACUGACCAAGCAGGAAAGCUGGCAGCACUUCCAAAUAGAAAUGGAAGAAGCUUCUUCCAUGGUGGGUAAUCCCAGCCUCAUAGACCUUGUGCACCCUUUGUCAUGGGACUCAGUGACUCAUGGAUACAGCAUCAGCCACGGCAGGAAUGUGUGGAACUGUGGCAUAUGCAGAAACAAAUUGCCCUUAGUGCUAUGUCCUUGCCUUUGGUUAUAAAUUGUAAAUUAUUUCCCCCUUUUUAGUGGCAAUAAAAGACCCUUAUUGUUUAAUUUGUCCGUGUAAAAUACUUUCUUUGCAAGAAAACUCAAGACACUGAAUGUGUAUGUCUAUGUGGGUGCUCUGUCCCCGUGCUUGUCACAAGCAGUCAAACUGGACCAUUGACACCCUGUACAAUGUAUUGCACAGGGAAAGUCCUUGAUCUAGUGUUUUCUGCAUGGGUGUUGGGGACUUAUAUCUCAUAAAAGGACACUUGUCACAUGCUUGAUCAGUUACAGUGAUAGCUGAAGAAACAUUUCCUCAAAUGUAUUAUUUUAAGAAGAAUCAUGUUCUAGUUUCCCAUAUUGAAUGUUUAAUUUUAAUAAAAGCUAAACUGUGCAAA